CAGAGGCUGAUAUUGAUGUGGUUCCACACACUUUGCGUUUCUUUCCUGCACUAAAGAUGAUCUCCAUCAGGCACUACUGGAGACAGGACGAUGUUUUCUCCGUGCCUUUUCCUGCCAGAGUAAUGUCAAGAGAGAGAUACUGCACUAUUUCAUGGAAUGUGCACAUGAGUCACCCAGAAGACGACAAACAUGUAAUGUUCCAUUGUGUGUUCAGUUAAAUAGGAACUGUUUUGAACAAUGGCACGACAACAUUUAACUCCAUUCUCAAAGAGUUACAGUGUGUGAUGUAUUUUUAGAUGCACACCAAACUGUACAUUCAUAGCUGACAUUUAGAAUAAUUUUCUUUUAAUUAGAGCCAUAUUGUACUGGUCAUAUAGAAUAUUGUUACAUGUAUUGUUACUUUAUUAUUUAUAAUUACAAUGAUGCUUCUUUAUUGAUAAUUACAAUAAAGCUUUUUAACUCUA